GCAGCGAAGAGACAGGAGAG
rnacentral:miRNA from 1 species